ACUUUUGACCAGAGUGACUGGGAGAGUAGAGUUACCAUCAGUUGAAAUGGGGAAGACUUCAGAUGGAGCAAAUUUGUGAGGUGCCAGAGACUAUGCUAAACAGUAUGGAGGAAGAAGACAUCAUGUUCACCCUUAAGUGGUGUGUAGUUUAGAAGAUGAAACAAAAGUCUAGUGUGUUAAAUGUUUCAUAGAGGUCAGUUUUGUAAGGUUCGUUUCAGCUAUUUGCUAUUUUUCACUAACUGCUUAAGUGUCCAUUAUUUUCAGAGCCCAUUCCCAAUAGGGUAUUUGUUAUUUUAAAAUAAAAUACUUACUUUUAAUAUUUAAUAAA